GACGAACGCUGGCGGCGUGCUUAACACAUGCAAGUCGAACGGAAAGACCCUGCUUUUGUGGGGUGCUCGAGUGGCGAACGGGUGAGUAACACGUGAGUAACCUGCCCUUGACUUUGGGAUAACUUCAGGAAACUGGGGCUAAUACCGGAUAGGAGCUCCUGCUGCAUGGUGGGGGUUGGAAAGUUUCGGCGGUUGGGGAUGGACUCGCGGCUUAUCAGCUUGUUGGUGGGGUAGUGGCUUACCAAGGCUUUGACGGGUAGCCGGCCUGAGAGGGUGACCGGCAAGAGUGGUAAUGAGAUACGGCCCAGACUCCUACGGGAGGCAGCGGUGGGGAAGAUUGCACGAUGGGCGGAAGCCUGAUGCAGCAACGCCGCGUGCGGGAUGACGGCCUUCGGGUUGUAAAACGCUUUCGCCUGAGACGAAGCGUGAGUGACGGUAAUGGGUAAAGAAGCACCGGCUAACUACGUG
rnacentral:rRNA from 1 species